rnacentral:rRNA from 1 species
GUCCACGCCGUAAACUGUGAGCACUAGGUGUAGCGGGUAUUGACCCCUGCUGUGCCGACGCUAACGCAUUAAGUGCUCCGCCUGGGGAGUACGGCCGCAAGGUUAAAACUCAAAGGAAUUGACGGGGCCCGCACAAGCGGUGGAGCAUGUGGUUUAAUUCGAUGCAACGCGAAGAACCUUACCUGGGCUUGAAAUCGCCCGGACAGCUGUGGAAACACAGUCUCCUUCGGGCCGGGUGACAGGUGCUGCAUGGCUGUCGU